AAUGGCCGCAGUAUUUUGACUGUGCAAAGGUAGCAUAAUCAUUAGUUUCUUAAUUAGGAGCUAGAAUGAAUGGUUUGAUGAGAAAUUAACUGUCUCUUACUAAUUUUAUUAUAAUUUGAAUUUUAAGUGAGAAUGCUUAAAUUUUUUAGAAAGACGAGAAGACCCUAUAGAGUUUGAUUAUUAUUUUAAUUGAAAUUUAUUUAGGGUUGGUAUUUGUUUGGUUGAGCUGAUAAUUUUGUUGGGGUGACAAAAAAAUUUAUUUAACUUUUUAAUUUUUUUACACUAAUUAGUGAUUAGUUGAUCCUGUAGGUAUGGAUUAUAAGAUUGAAUUACCUUAGGGAUAACAGCGUAAUUUUUUUUGAAAGUUCAUAUUUAUAAAAAAGUUUGCGACCUCGAUGUUGGAUUAAAAUUAAUUUUCGGUGUAGCUGCUGAAAUGAUUA
rnacentral:rRNA from 1 species